rnacentral:rRNA from 1 species
UACGGAGGGAGCAAGCGUUACUCGGAAUUAUUGGGCGUAAAGGGCGCGUAGGCGAUUUGAAAAGUCUUGUGUGAAAGCCCCGGGCUUAACCCGGGAAGUGCACAAGAAACUGUUGAAUUUGAGUUCCGGAGAGGAAGGCAGAAUUCCCGGUGUAGCGGUGAAAUGCGUAGAUAUCGGGAAGGAAUACCAGUGGCGAAGGGCGGCCUU